AUGGACGCCUUCAGGGCAUCGAGCAGGAGCUCGCCUGCCGCCACGCUCGGCCACCUCGACCUCCCCGGAUGCGAUUCCAACCAGCAGCAGCGCCAACCUGACUGCCUCCUCCACCUCCACGUAGCCCUCACCAACUUCCUCCACAAGCCCCUCAGGUCAUUCUCGAGAUGCUUCAGCAACGACCACAACAAGCCCAAGCGUGGCCAGAGCAAACAUGCCACAUUGCAGCUCCUCGACGUCGGGAAAAGGCAGCCGCAGCCGGCGAGCUUCGUUGAUAAAAAGGCUGAUUUCGACGGGUUCCUCUCCAACCUGGGGUUCGCCAGGGUGGGGGCGCCGCCGGCGAGCUUCGCUGAUUGUUAG
rnacentral:rRNA from 1 species